CCGGCUAUAAAUACCUUCUAAAACACGCUUUUUUUGUAAUCCCUGUUCUAAACCCUAGCCUCCCCUUCCUUCCUCUUCUACAUCAGUCAUCGCCGCCAUCACUGAAUAAGGAUUAAGAUAUCGAUCAACCACUACAGGUAUGUUCUUGAUCUUCAAAUUAACUCCAUGUGUAAGAGUAUGGUGACGGUGGUGGUGGUGGUAGCCUUAAGAGUAACGAAUCUGUAUGUUCUUUGACUCUAUCCUUUUUUUGGUAUGAAAACCCUAACUCGCAUCUUUGAACAAUCGAUGCCAAACCCUCAAGGUAAGUUUGAAAUUAAGUAAUCUACGCCACUGCAUGUGAUUUUCAUUUGAUUUUCAAUGUUCAACGCAGAUUUUAUUCGACACCACGAUGUUUGAUUUACUAACAUUCAUCUACUAUCUGUGUCUGUUCAUGGAUUUGGGGUUUUUGAUGAUUCUCGACUGUUACAACUUGCGUUUCUGUUGAUUAUCUUCUUGGAUUGGUUGAGCAGAGCCACAAACUGGGCUAAAUUCGGUGCAACAGCCGGGUUAGGUGUACCAAUGUGAAGGUGGUUCAGCAUGGUGGUUGCUUAGGCCUUGGCUUGGCAGCUUUAAGGACCGCUGAUGAAGAUAUAUACGAUGAGAUAAAAAGUGUCCUCUACAAUGACAGUGUUGUUGCAGGUGAAGCUGCGGGCAUUAGCAUAGGCUUACUAAUGGUGGGGACUGCAAGUGAGAAGGCAUCAGAGAUG